UUGUUUCUGAUUGACCUAUCUUCAGAGGACCGACGGGCUAAGUUCGUGCCAGCAUGCGAUUAGAAACGAACCGUCCAAACGUUAUUCGGAAUCACUGGGCUUAAAGGGGGCGUAGGCGGCUUGGCAAGUUGGGUGUGAAAUCCCUCGGCUCAACCAAGGAACUGCGCUCAAAACUGCCAAGCUAGAGGAAGAUAGAGGUGAGCGGAACUAAUGGUGGAGCAGUGAAAUGCGUUGAUAUCAUUAGGAACAAAUCACUAGUGAAUUCGCGGCCGCCUGCAGGUCGACCAUAUGGGAGAGCUCCCAACGCGUUGGAUGCAUAGCUUGAGUAUUCUAUAGUGUCACCUAAAUAGCUUGGCGUAAUCAUGGUCAUAGCUGUUUCCUGACACUAUAGAAUACUCAAGCAAGCUUUUUAUGUGUUUUGGAGCUCCUCAUAUGGUCGACAAGCAGGCGGUUGCGAAUUCCCCAGUGCUCCGCUCGUAAAUGAUAUCGACGCAUUUCCCAGCUCACAUUAGUUGCUAACUUUUAUCUUUUCAGCUUGAAGUUUUGGCGCGUUGUUGGAUGGUGCGGGA
rnacentral:rRNA from 1 species